AUUAAACGCUGGCGGCAUGCCUUACACAUGCAAGUCGAACGGUAGCGCGGGGCAACCUGGCGACGAGUGGCGAACGGGUGAGUAAAGCAUCGGAACGUGCCCUGGAAUGGGGGAUAACGUAGCGAAAGUUACGCUAAUACCGCAUAUUCUGUGAGCAGGAAAGCAGGGGAUCGCAAGACCUUGCGUUCUGGGAGCGGCCGAUGUCGGAUUAGCUAGUUGGUGGGGUAAAAGCCUACCAAGGCGACGAUCCGUAGCGGGUCUGAGAGGAUGAUCCGCCACACUGGGACUGAGCACGGCCCAGACUCCUACGGGAGGCAGCAGUGGGGAAUUUUGGACAAUGGGCGGAAGCCUGAUCCAGCCAUGCCGCGUGAGUGAAGAAGGCCUUC
rnacentral:rRNA from 1 species